rnacentral:rRNA from 1 species
UGCAAGUCGAGCGAACUGAUUAGAAGCUUGCUUCUAUGACGUUAGCGGCGGACGGGUGAGUAACACGUGGGCAACCUGCCUGUAAGACUGGGAUAACUUCGGGAAACCGAAGCUAAUACCGGAUAGGAUCUUCUCCUUCAUGGGAGAUGAUUGAAAGAUGGUUUCGGCUAUCACUUACAGAUGGGCCCGCGGUGCAUUAGCUAGUUGGUGAGGUAACGGCUCACCAAGGCAACGAUGCAUAGCCGACCUGAGAGGGUGAUCGGCCACACUGGGACUGAGACACGGCCCAGACUCCUACGGGAGGCAGCAGUAGGGAAUCUUCCGCAAUGGACGAAAGUCUGACGGAGCAACGCCGCGUGAGUGAUGAAGGCUUUCGGGUCGUAAAACUCUGUUGUUAGGGAAGAACAAGUACGAGAGUAACUGCUCGUACCUUGACGGUACCUAACCAGAAAGCCACGGCUAACUACGUGCCACCAGCCGCGGUAAUACGUAGGUGGCAAGCGUUAUCCGGAAUUAUUGGGCGUAAAGCGCGCGCAGGCGGUUUCUUAAGUCUGAUGUGAAAGCCCACGGCUCAACCGUGGAGGGUCAUUGGAAACUGGGGAACUUGAGUGCAAAAAAAAAAAAGCGGAAUUCCACGUGUAGCGGUGAAAUGCGUAGAGAUGUGGAGGAACCCCAGUGGCGAAGGGGGCUUUUUG